rnacentral:rRNA from 1 species
UCAGACACGUCUAGAGUUUGAUCCUGGCUCAGGACGAACGCUGGCGGCGUGCUUAACACAUGCAAGUCGAGCGAUGAAGCUCCUUCGGGAAGUGGAUUAGCGGCGGACGGGUGAGUAACACGUGGGCAACCUGCCUCAAAGAGGGGAAUAGCCCUCCGAAAGGAGGAUUAAUACCGCAUAAAGUUAGAGUUUCGCGUGAAACUUUAACCAAAGGAGUAAUCCGCUUUGAGAUGGGCCCGCGUCCCAUUAGCUAGUUGGUAGGGUAAUGGCUUACCAAGGCAACGAUGGGUAGCCGACCUGAGAGGGUGAUCGGCCACAUUGGAACUGAGACACGGUCCAG